CGCCCGGGACCGCUCGGACCGCCCGGGACCGCCCGGGACCGCCCGGCCCGAGACGGCACCCCGCGCCCCGGAUUCGCCUCGGCUCGGCCGCGCGUUUAUUCCUUCUUCCUGCAUGAUCUCCAACGUUGAUAAAGUAGAAGAAACUGAGCUCUCAUGACAGAGAAAAGUAACUGGGACUGAGGAAAAAAAAAAAAAAAAGAGGUAGGGAUCUUGCUCCAUUAUCGAGGAUCUAACUUUUGACUGUGAUUUGCAAGUACCCCAGUGUUUACCUUCAGGUGGUCCCCAAGAUCAACUGGACGGCUGGCAAAGAAUCCCAGAGUGGUAGAGAGGUGAUUCGAAAGAGCUGUGGACAUAAAGUAGACUUUGCCUGCCAGUGGAGCCCUAGGAAGGAGGGCCAGUUGCUUAGUCCUCCCCUCUGGCCUA